rnacentral:rRNA from 1 species
AUUGAACGCUGGCGGCAGGCCUAACACAUGCAAGUCGAACGAGUGGCGGACGGGUGAGUAAUGUCUGGGCAACUGCCCGAUGGAGGGGGAUAACUACUGGAAACGGUAGCUAAUACCGCAUACCAUCGGAUGUGCCCAGUUGGGAUUAGCUAGUUGGGGGGGUAACGGCUCACCUAGGCGACGAUCCCUAGCUGGUCUGAGAGGAUGACCAGCCACACUGGAACUGAGACACGGUCCAGACUCCUACGGGAGGCAGCAGUGGGGAAUAUUUGACAAUGGGCGCAAGCCUGAUGCAGCCAUGCCGCGUGUAUGAAGAAGGCCUUCGGGUUGUAAAGUACUUUCAGCGAGGAGGCGUUACCCGCAGAAGAAGCACCGGCUAACUCCGUGCCAGCAGCCGCGGUAAUAC